rnacentral:tRNA from 1 species
CGGAGCGUGGCGCAGCUCGGUAGCGCACUAUCUUGGGGUGAUAGGGGUCGCUGGUUCAAAUCCAGUCGCUCCGACCA